rnacentral:rRNA from 1 species
UACGGAGGAUGCGAGCGUUAUCCGGAUUUAUUGGGUUUAAAGGGUGCGUAGGUUGUUUUUUAAGUCAGCGGUGAAAGUUUGUGGCUCAACCAUAAAAUUGCCGUUGAAACUGGAGGCCUUGAGUGCACACAGGGAUGCCGGAAUUCAUGGUGUAGCGGUGAAAUGCUUAGAUAUCAUGAAGAACUCCGAUUGCGAAGGCAGCUCACUGGACUGCAACUGACACUGAGGCUCGAAAGUGUGGGUAUCAAACAGG